AACGAACGCUGGCGGCAUGCCUAACACAUGCAAGUCGAACGAAAACUUCGGGUCUAGUGUCGCACGGGUGCGUAACGCGAGGGAACCUGCCCUUGUGUUCGGAAUAACUCUCCGAAUGGGGUGCUAAUACCGGAUAGUGUCUUCGAACCAAAGAUUUAUCGCCUUUGGAUGGGCCCGCGUUGGAUUAGCUAGUUGUUAGAGUAAUAGCCUACCAAGGCGACGAUCCAUAGCUGGUCUGAGAGGAGGAUCAGCCACACUGGGACUGAGACACGGCCCGGGAUCCUACGGGAGGGAGCAGUGGCGUAUAGUGGACACUGGGCGAAAGCCUGAUACAGCAAUGCCGCGUGAGUCAUGAAGGCCUGAGGGUUGUAAAGCUCUUUUAACCGAGAUGAUAAUGACAGUACCGGGAGAAUAAGCUCCGGCUAACUCCGUG
rnacentral:rRNA from 1 species